GCCGCCUUAGCUCAGUCGGUAGAGCGUGGUACUCGUAAUACCAAGGUCGACGGUUCGAUUCCGUCAGGCGGCU
rnacentral:tRNA from 1 species